rnacentral:rRNA from 1 species
UACGUAGGUGGCAAGCGUUAUCCGGAUUUAUUGGGUUUAAAGGGUGCGUAGGCGGAAUAUCAAGUCGGCGGUAAAAAUUCGGGGCUCAACCCCGUCGUGCCGUUGAAACUGAUGUUCUUGAGUGGGCGAGAAGUAUGCGGAAUGCGUGGUGUAGCGGUGAAAUGCAUAGAUAUCACGCAGAACUCCGAUUGCGAAGGCAGCAUACCGGCGCCCAACUGACGCUGAAGCACGAAAGCGUGGGUAUCGAACAGG